rnacentral:rRNA from 1 species
UAGGGGAUAUUGCACAAUGGGCGAAAGCCUGAUGCAGCGACGCCGCGUGGGGGAUGAAGGCUUUCGGGUUGUAAACCUCUUUCGCUAUCGAACAAGGCCCGCUUAGGGUGGGUUGAGGGUAGGUGGAGAAGAAGCGCCGGCUAACUACGUGCCAGCAGCCGCGGUAAUACGUAGGGCGCGAGCGUUGUCCGGAAUUAUUGGGCGUAAAGGGCUUGUAGGCGGCUUGUUGCGCCUGCUGUGAAAACGCGGGGCUUAACUUCGCGCGUGCAGUGGGUACGGGCAGGCUUGAGUGUGGUAGGGGUGACUGGAAUUCCAGGUGUAGCGGUGGAAUGCGCAGAUAUCUGGAGGAACACCGAUGGCGAAGGCAGGUCACUGGGCCAUUACUGACGCUGAGGAGCGAAAGCAUGGGUAGCGAACAGG